rnacentral:sRNA from 2 species
GUGCGGCCUCCGCCCAAUCCGGUGCGCCCUCGUGGCAGCCGGAGCCGGGGACCCAACCGAACGAUGGGGUGAAUCGGCCCAACUGCCCUUCGGGGCAAGGGCCGUAGGGCAUGCCUUCCGGAUACGACCGCCCGAACCCGACAGCUAACUCGGUAGGCGGAGUACGGAAGGAGUA